GUUCGGUGGCUGAUAUCCUGCGAAUUCAACACGUAUCAUAUUCGAGAAUAACAAAUAAGAAUGUAGAAAACGCGUUGGCGUAUUUCUUGGCUGGACGGGCCAAAAACACUUAUGCAUUCACCGAGGUACCGUGAAAACGCGUAAGUAUU